GUGCCAGCCGCCGCGGUAAUACGAAGGGGGCUAGCGUUGCUCGGAAUUACUGGGCGUAAAGGGCGCGUAGGCGGAUAUUUAAGUUAGAGGUGAAAGCCCAGGGCUCAACCCUGGAAUAGCCUUUAAUACUGGAUAUCUUGAGUUCGGGAGAGGUGAGUGGAACUCCGAGUGUAGAGGUGAAAUUCGUAGAUAUUCGGAAGAACACCAGUGGCGAAGGCGACUCACUGGCCCGAUACUGACGCUGAGGCGCGAAAGCGUGGGGAGCAAACAGGAUUAGAAACCCUGGUAGUCC
rnacentral:rRNA from 1 species